GCCUAACACAUGCAAGUCGAGCGGUAACACAGGGAGCUUGCUCCUGUGUGACGAGCGGCGGACGGGUGAGUAAUGUCUGGGAAACUGCCUGAUGGAGGGGGAUAACUACUGGAAACGGUAGCUAAUACCGCAUAACGUCUUCGGACCAAAGUGGGGGACCUUCGGGCCUCAUGCCAUCAGAUGUGCCCAGAUGGGAUUAGCUAGUAGGUGGGGUAACGGCUCACCUAGGCGACGAUCCCUAGCUGGUCUGAGAGGAUGACCAGCCACACUGGAACUGAGACACGGUCCAGACUCCUACGGGAGGCAGCAGUGGGGAAUAUUGCACAAUGGGCGCAAGCCUGAUGCAGCCAUGCCGCGUGUAUGAAGAAGGCCUUCGGGUUGUAAAGUACUUUCAGCGGAGGAGGAAGGCGAUAAGGUUAAUAACCUUGUCGAUUGACGUUACUCGCAGAAGAAGCACCGGCUAACUCCGUGCCAGCAGCCGCGGUAAUACGGAGGGUGCAAGCGUUAAUCGGAAUUACUGGGCGUAAAGCGCACGCAGGCGG
rnacentral:rRNA from 1 species